UACGUAGGGACCAAGCGUUGUUCGGAUUUACUGGGCGUAAAGGGCGCGUAGGCGGCUUGACAAGUCACUUGUGAAAUCUCCGGGCUUAACUCGGAACGGCCAAGUGAAACUGUCAUGCUAGAGUGCAGAAGGGGCAAUCGGAAUUCUUGGUGUAGCGGUGAAAUGCGUAGAUAUCGAGAGGAACACCUGCGGCGAAGGCGGGUUGCUGGGCCGACACUGACGCUGAUGCGCGAAAGCCAGGGGAGCGAAUGGG
rnacentral:rRNA from 1 species